CGCUGGUGUCCGCUUGAGUAGAGUUCGCUCAAAGCUCGUCAGCUGGUGCUCAUUUACAUUAUCACUGUUUUCCCAUGCAGUUUUGUUAGCCAUGAGUGUAUUUGUAGGUGUGAGAAGUGGGCUAUGGAUGGGAGGCCAUAGCUGCGUUGCAUCUCUGGAAAUGUUAGAGAGUGUCAUGAUAGAACUGAUAGAUGGAAUGAAUCCUGUGUCGUACCCAGAUUUUAUGAUUGAAAUCCGGUAUCGCUGAGGUUAGGGCUGAAACUGGCAUAGAUUUAGCGUGUGG